rnacentral:tRNA from 1 species
UCCCUGCUGGCUCAGAGAUUAAAGCAUCUGCCUGGAAUGCAGGAGACCAGGUUUGAUCCCUGGGUCGGGAA